rnacentral:rRNA from 1 species
AUACGGCCCAGAUUCCUACGGGAGGCAGCAGUGGGGAAUUUUGCACAAUGGGCGAAAGCCUGAUGCAGAAACGCCGCCUGCGGGAUGACAGCCUUCGGGUUGUAAACCGCUUUCAGCGCCGACGAAGCGAAAGUGACGGUAGGCGCAGAAGAAGGACCGGCCAACUACGUGCCAGCAGGCGCGGUGAUACGUAGGGUCCGAGCGUUGUCCGGAAUUAUUGGGCGUAAAGGGCUUGUAGGCGGUCUGCCGCGUCGGGAGUGAAAACUCAGAGCUUAACUCUGAGCGUGCUUCCGAUACGGGCGGACUAGAGGAAUGCAGGGGAGAAUGGAAUACCUGGUGGAGCGGUGGAAUGCGCAGAUAUCAGGUGGAACACCAGUGGCGAAGGCGGUUCUCUGGGCAUUUCCUGACGCUGAGAAGCGAAAGCGUGGGGAGCAAACAGGCUUAGAUACCCUGGUAGUCCACGCCGUAAACGGUGGGCACUAGGUGUGGGACUCAUUCCACGAGUUCCGUGCCGUAGCUAACGCAUUAAGUGCCCCGCCUGGGGAGUACGGCCGCAAGGCUAAAACUCAAAGGAAUUGACGGGGGCCCGCACAAGCGGCGGAGCAUGCGGAUUAAUUCGAUGCAACGCGAAGAACCUUACCUGGGUUUGACAUAUACCGGAAAGCUGCAGAGAUGUAGCCCCCGCAAGGUCGGUAUACAGGUGGUGCAUGGCUGUCGUCAGCUCGUGUCGUGAGAUGUUGGGUUAAGUCCCGCAACGAGCGCAACCCUCGUCCUAUGUUGCCAGCGGAUAAUGCCGGGGACUCAUAGGAGACUGCCGGGGUCAACUCGGAGGAAGGUGGGGAUGACGUCAAGUCAUCAUGCCCCUUAUGUCCAGGGCUUCACGCAUGCUACAAUGGCUGGUACAAAGAGCUGCGAGACCGCAAGGUUAAGCGAAUCUCAAAAAGCCAGUCUCAGUUCGGAUUGGGGUCUGCAACUCGACCCCAUGAAGUCGGAGUCGCUAGUAAUCGCAGAUCAGCAACGCUGCGGUGAAUACGUUCCCGGGCCUUGUACACACCGCCCGUCAAGUCAUGAAAGUCGGUAACACCCGAAGCCGGUGGCCCAACCCUUGUGGAGGGAGCC